GCCGCCAUGCGCUUGCCUCGGCCCCUACGCGCCGCCACCGCCAGGCGCUUCCGAUGCGUGGGGGCCGCCCCAUCCGUGCAGGUCUUCCUCUAUACUCACGGCUCGGCGCGAGCGCGACCGCUGCAGGCGACGCCGACGAGCCCCGCUCGCUCAUGCGCCCCAUUGUCGUGUUGUUUUUAUGCAUGUAGGAUGCAAGCGCCGCCGCUGCCAUUUUUAUGAUUGAGGUUCAGAAGUGUAUCUGUUGUUAUACUGGUUUACUUAUUAAAUUUCAUCAUAUGUAUACCUUCAUCCCGUGUCAUGGUAAUUUUCUCUAUAUAUGAUGUGUUAUUAUAACCAUUUCGAAAUUUCACUAUGCAGGACCAGAAGCGCAUCAUAUGCUGACAAUACCUGUAUCUAUCAGCGGUUUCCUGUAGCUGUAGGUCUUCUUAUGUUAUGGCAUUAUUUUGUUUAGUCGGUUGUGAAUUCCAUGUCAUCUUUACAUCUUGUUCCAUUUAUCACCAAAAUUGGGUCUGAACAACAUAUUUUAGCUGCUCUAGAGAAGCAAAAGAUCUUUUGGUAAGGAUGUUCAUCUUAUGCAGUGGCACUGAAUAGCGCUUCUGUAAGAAAUUUUUUAACAAGUUUGUUAAAACAAUUCCUUUCUUUCCCAGCACUGGAAUCACCUUUGUGAAUGCAAUCCAGAUAAGUGUCGCUUACUUUACUGACACACCCUUUCAGAGUUGGGUGAUCUAGCUUCUGAGGUGAGGGCUAAUCUCUCAGGGGAGAAUGUUAAGCCGGGCCUCUUGUUUCUUAAUGACAUCCCCACACCAUCUAAAAAGGUCCAAAACAUGGUACUUCGGGUCUCAGAGAAUUCAGAAGAAGUUCUUACAACAGUCGUUACUGGGUAAAUCAUGUAUGAUGUCAUACUUGCACCCUCAUUUGCAGCUUAUUUCAGGUUGUUGCUCAAUCAGGUGAGUUUGUCUUUUCUGCUUUUCAGUUCACAUCUGUUGGCAUGAAUUUACCCGUGCACUUGGUGCUAGCACUGAUGAUAAUUUGGACCUGUCAGUGUCAGACGGGGAAAUAUAUGCCCAUUAGUAGUGCAUCUUUAUUGAGUUUGAGGAGAAAGAGUAAUUAAUUCAUCUUGUGGCAUGCGUCCACACUUGUUAACAAAUUAACGCCUUUUAAUUUGUGUCUUAAAAGUACUUUUGUUAACAUUUGCAACCGAAGAUAUGAUCUACUUUUGCUAAUAGUGGUAAAAAAAGAGGAUCCAGAUUUCCAGAUUCUAUGUUGUACAGAAUUAUUCUUUGCCAACAAUAAUUUUGCUAAGUUGCUCUUGCCUCUCAGUGUUAUUAGUAUGAAUAUUCUAUGCAGCUGAACUUAUUUGCUAGAGAGAUUUAGAAACACGAGGACUGAUUACUGAUGAAAGAACCACAGAUAGAUAUAAGUUUUCUCCAUUGGCCAGCAAUUCAACUGCAUGUUUUAAAACUUUUUGCAUUAAUAGUGCAAUAGACGUGUAAUGCAUAGAUAUCUUUUUCUAUGUUUCUAUGUUCAUUUCCCACGAGACUUAGAAAAAUGAUUAUACUAGACAAGUAGUCAUUGUUACUUUGAUUCAGAAUGAGAAACAUUAUUUUUUGCUGAAUCAUUGGUGCAUUAGUUGACACCAAACCAUUCAAAGGUAUUGUACCUCAUGAUUGGUGAAGAUGGCAUAUUUCAAACAUGGUGACGAACAAAGGUUUAUAAUGCAGGCACCUCUGAUUUCUUAAGUUCUUAACAAUUUAAUGAUUGAUCAUUACUAUUCUCAUCAUUAUUAUAUAUAAGAAUACAAGGCCCUUCAGUUUUCUACUACCUCGACGGUAAAUGAGAUGACCAGGUAAUACGUGAAGAAGCAAAUAACUUGAUCAUACAAUGUAACAAAUUGUGAUGGCCGAUGUACUUUGCUGGCUCAGACGAGAACCAUUAUAUGCACAACACAAUAUUUUGUGACAGUAGUCUUUUUAAGCAAAAUGACCCUAUGAACAUCCUUAUCAUUAGUUGUUUCCUCAUAGUGGGAACUUCCUAUCGAGAAAAACUGGAGCAUCAGGUAGCUAUCGCACACAUCUUUCCGAGAACAAGAACACAUUUAUUUAUAUGUUUCUCUUAUUUUCUGUUUGUGAUUGCAGAAAAGAGUCUAGCUACUAGAGAUUUGAGCUGAAGCACAAGCCUUUCCUCUUGGAAUUGAUUUAGAACCCUAAGGAGGAGUUCCUAUCAUCAAUGCUAGAUGUACAGUCAAAUGCAUAUCGUUAUGAACUUUUCUCUCCAAACACCCUACAAAUAAUAGAUGUUAUCUUGUACUCUUAACAAGUCUCGCCCAUAUGGUAGUUGUCUUUAUAAAGCACCCUGUGAUAUUCUAUAAAGUAAGGUCGUCAUGUAGGAAAAUUGUAACAGCCCGAUGCCGACGUUCCAAAAGAUUCCCCUUUCUUUCCA